UCUAAUAUGGCAGAUUAGUGCCAUGGAUUUAAGCUCCAUUAAUAAAGAUUAUCUUUUGUUAGAA
rnacentral:tRNA from 1 species